rnacentral:rRNA from 1 species
AUGUUCAUUCAAAUCUGUGGGGAACUGACAAGCUCAAACACAUUAUGCUCUGACGAAUCAUAUGAAGAGAAGGUAGAUUGCUCACUUCUUGCCCAUGAGCUGGCCGAUCCUUGCCUCCCACUUGCCGCACUUGUGCAGGGUGACGCCGCGGAACCGGGAGCUGCCCCUCACGAACCCGGCGCCCUGCCGCCGCAGCACCUGCACCAGCUCCUCCUUGCUCAACACGCUCAUCUGCCAUGGCAGCCAGCAACAUCAACAACAUGCUGUCGUCGUCAGAAACAGAGCAGACAUCGCCGACGAGGAAGAUGCAGCAGAUGGACAGGGGCGGAGAGAGAGCUCCUGUGUGCUCGUUGUCACCUUGCCGAUGUCCUCCUUGUAGUCGUCCAGCACGAAGUUGAUGUCCGCCUCCAUGCCGCGGAACUUGAUCGCCGCCUGGUCGUACGCCCUGAAACUCAGACAAGCUCAUGUUCCUCAGCAGCUUGUGCUGUGUCGAAUCCUCCUGGUAAAAAUGGAAGUGAAAAGAGAAACAAGAACAGAGUCAUGAGCAGAGCAUCGGGGAGGAAUCAGUGA